GCCAGUAUGGUGGACAUGGCGCUCGGCUUCUAACCGAGUGAGCUCGGGUUCAAAUCCCGAAUAAGGCA